GACGAACGCUGGCGGCGUGCUUAACACAUGCAAGUCGAACGGAAAGGCCCUGCUCUUGUUGGGUGCUCGAGUGGCGAACGGGGGAGUAUAACGUGAGUAUCCUGCACUUGACUGUGGGAUAAAUUCAGGAAACUGGGGCUAAUACCGGGUAUGAGAUCCUGCUGCAUGGGGGGGGAUGGAAAGAUUCGGUGGUUGGGGAUGGACUCGCGGCUUAUCAGCUUGUUUGGGAGGUAGUGGCUUACCAAGGCUUUGACGGAUAGCCGGCCUGAGAGGGUGACCGGGCUCAAUGCGACUGAGAUAGGGCCCAGACUCGAACGGGAGGCAGCAGGGGGGAAUAUUGCACAACGGGCGGAAGCCAGAUGCAGAAAUGCCCGGUGCGGGAUGACGUCCUUCGGGGUGAAAACCGCUGUCGCCUGUGAUGAGGCGGGAGUGACGGUAAUGGGUAAAGAAGCACCGGCUAACUACGUG
rnacentral:rRNA from 1 species